rnacentral:rRNA from 1 species
GCAGCCGCGGUAAUACGGAGGGUGCGAGCGUUAAUCGGAAUUACUGGGCGUAAAGCGCGUGCAGGUGGUUUGUUAAGUCAGAUGUGAAAGCCCGGGGCUCAACCUCGGAACUGCAUUUGAAACUGGCAGACUAGAGUACUGUAGAGGGGGGUAGAAUUUCAGGUGUAGCGGUGAAAUGCGUAGAGAUCUGAAGGAAUACCGGUGGCGAAGGCGGCUCCCUGGACUGAUACUGACACUCAGAUGCGAAAGCGUGGGGAGCAAACAGGAUUAGAUACCCUGGUAGUCCACGCCGUAAACGAUGUCUACUUGGCGGUUGUGGCCUUGAGCCGUGGCUUUCGGAGCUAACGCGUUAAGUAGACCGCCUGGGGAGUACGGUCGCAAGAUUAAAACUCAAAUGAAUUGACGGGG